CUGUCAUGCAGACGGCUGCGUCCCCAGCAAGCACCCAUGCGGCCUACCCUGUGCCUGCCUAGCAGAAGGGGCAGCUGCACUUGGGGCGCAGCACACAGCACGCUGCCAGCACCACCAGCACCAGGGCACAGCGUCCUGGUGGAGCAGUGGUGUCCAGGGCCUGGCUUCCAGGGCUCCCGGUGCUAAAACAGCCAUCAGGGACGGAAGCCAGAUCCGUGGGGGUGACAGGCUCAGGGCUCCGUCCUCGCGCUGGGACUCCAGGCCCUGGCUAGGAGGAUGCAGGAGCCACAACUGGGCAGGGAGCCCCCGCCUGCACACAGUCUGCCCGUGGCACACACCUGCUGUGUAGAUGCCACCAGACCAGGUUCUGCCCAGCGAGGCCCAGACCCGAGGCACAUGCCACAAGCCUCCCUCUGUGCACAUCUCGAUGCAAACUCCCUCACAACCUCGCACGGGACUCCCACCAGCCCACGGCGAAGACAGGGAUGGAGGCCAAGCCAGACCUCAGCUCCAAACCCGACCCAGGGUCUCACCUGGGCACCCAGGCCGGUGCUCCUCCUGGUCCCAGAGCCACACCUGCAGGCUGAACGCCACUGAAGCAACGAGGACGUGCCAGCCACACCACAGGCCUGACCACACAGUCCCACGAACACACCACUGCAGGUCAGGUGGUGUGCAUCGAAGAAACCCCGGCCCCUGCCAGCACUGACGGCGCCUGCCCGGGCACCCCAGGGCUCCAGCAACUUUGUCUGACAAGAUGGCCCAGCCAUUGUCCCGCCCGCCUGGGGUGGCCCCUCGGGCACCCUGCCCAGGGACCUCCACGUCCUCCGCUGGCCGACCCAUGUCCACCACGCCUGGGACAGGAUGGGGCUCCGAGCAGGGGAUCGCAACAGCCCCCGCGGAGUGAGCCUGCCCACAUCCCGCAACCCAUGAUCCCCAGCCGGGGGCUGCCUCCCCCCUGCCCACCACGCAGCCUGGGAACUUCACUUACCCAGCACACGCGCGGCCUUCGGUGGCCUCGGCCAGACAACUUGAAGGAACUCUGCACACAAAGGGAGGAGGGCACUCAGGGCAGCCGGCACCCGGGGCCCAGCCCGAUGGCCUGGGGGACGGCCCCCGCGCCCCACGCCUGGCCCAUCCUGCCUGGGCCAGCGCAGCGCUGAACAGC
rnacentral:lncRNA from 1 species